CCUCCUGGGUUCAAGUGAUUCUUCUGCCUCAGCCUCCCCAGUAGCUGGGAUUACAGAUUGCAUCCGUCUAUUCUGAAAGAUGAGCAACAAAUCCAAUCAAAGCCUGAGUGAAAUAACUGACAAUCUUAAAGCAACCCUGAUGGUCAUUCAUGAGUCCAGCAGUUUCUAUGCAGAGCACCAAACACUUUACUUACAAAAGUAAGAGGAAAACGCACCCUUCUCUUAACAAGAAUUUGGAGUUAAAACGAGACAGAUUCCAUUCCUGCCUUCCACAUUAAUUGGCCAGGUGACUUUGGGCAAAUCACUUAACCUCUAGGUUUUCUCUCUGCAGAAUGAAAGCGGUGGCCUGUACACACCCAUUUAAAUCCCUCCUCCAAAUAUUCAUUUGUUCGAUAUUUUCGCAGUGUCUACUAAGCACAAUCAUUGUUAAUAAACACUAUGAUUCUUGGAGCGCUCCAAAUUGUGUCUUUGCUUUUAAGCAUCACUCCCCUUCCUCCUUUAAAAC